AGAGCGAACGCUGGCGGCAGGCCUAACACAUGCAAGUCGAGCGCCCGUAGCAAUACGGGAGCGGCAGACGGGAUAGUAACACGUGGGAACGCGCCCUUCGGUUCGGAAUAACUCAGGGAAACUUGAGCUAAUACCGAAUACGCCCUUACGGGGAAAGAUUUAUUGCCGAAGGAACGGCCCGCGUCCGAUUAGCUAGUUGGUGAGGUAAUGGCUCACCAAGGCUACGAUCGGUAGCUGGUCUGAGAGGAUGACCAGCAUCACUGGGACUGAGACACGGCCCAGACUCCUACGGGAGGCAGCAGUGGGGAAUAUUGGACAAUGGGCGCAAGCCUGAUCCAGCCAUGCCGCGUGGAUGAUGAAGGCCUUAGGGUUGUAAAGUCCGUUUUAACGGGGAAGAUAAUGACGGUACCCGUAGAAUAAGCCCCGGCUAACUUCGUGCCAGCAGCCGC
rnacentral:rRNA from 1 species